rnacentral:lncRNA from 1 species
CUCGUUUUCAACCAGAGCCCAGAAACAGCCGUUGUCCCCUGGCAAAAGAGGCCCAGUGCUGAGCCCUGGGCAAGUGUCUCCAGACAUCCCUACCUUUCUCUCCCUUUAUUAAGUCUUCUUUCCCAACAGAACCCAUUUCCUUUGCCACUAAAACUAGGUUGCAUCCAAAAGUUUCUCACAAGCUUAAAAAAGAAAAAUUGACACCAUUAUGCAGAAGAAUUCACAAAAGCUGCAGAGCGCCAGGGCAGAGAAGCAGCGUCAGACACAGGCCCAGGACACACAGGACGGAUGUUUCCAAGUCACUCCAGGGACAGCAUGAGGCUCUCGCUGGCCUGUGUCUCAGAAGCUGCUUUCUCCACCUCUUCCUUGUGAAUUUCCUAAACUCUCUACCUCUGGUUCAUGUUCGCUCUUCUGGAUAGUCUGUGUGCAAUGAGCCCUUAAAGGAAUAUUGCAAUGAGCUAUAAGAGUUGUGAGCCUGCGGUAGGCAAGGCCUGCACUGGGACAGCAAAGGAAAUUUCAUUGCAUCUGCUCCUAAGUCACAGGUUAUCCAGAGCCCACUUUACCCCAAGAGACAGCCUCUCCCCCAUCCCUAGGAAACAGUAGAGCUUAGGAAAAUGAAUGACUCCACCACAUUCAAGAGGCUUCAAAUUGUAUACUUGGCAUUUCUGAUUUCAGUUCUGAAAUUCUGUCCCUUAGUCGUGGGGAAAAUAAGAAAUGGAGUUACACCUUGUCAUUUAAAAAACCAUUGAAUUAAGAGAAAUGGAAAAUCAUGCCCACAUAAAACAUGUAUGGAAGUGUUCAUGUUUUGAUCAUGGCGGGGGAUAUAGCUCAGUCAUGGAGUGCUUGCAUAGCAAUGUGCAUAAUCCGAGGUUCAAGCCCCAGCACCGAAAAAGAGAAGCGGGAGGAGUGGAGGCAUUCACAGCAGCGUUUUCAGUAUAGGCGCAAAGGGGAAGGAGUUUAAACACCUACUGAGGAAUGGAUAAGCGGAGUGCCUUGUCUAUACUCGGGAUGCUAGUCAUCAGUAGAAAAGUUUGAAAUGAUAGAUACGAUGGAUGAUCCCUUAAACAUCUCCCUAAGUAACGAGGUCAGCCUAGGAAGGCGUAUGUUCCAUAUUUCUGGGAUAUAUGGGCUCACCGAUGCAGAAAAAAGUACAGCCUGGUAUCCUGGAUUGGAGACACGGACUGGACUUUGGAAGACAACAGAAUGGAACAGAAUUUACUUGAGUGGCGAUGUUCUUGAAUGAACGGAAGUCAUGCUUGCCCACUUGAUGACUGCAUUUACAAACCACUGAAUUUUACUUUUAGUGGGUGAAUUGCAUGGUACCUUCAUUUUAAUCUCAAUAAAGCUGCG